rnacentral:rRNA from 1 species
AUUGAACGCUGGCGGCAGGCCUAACACAUGCAAGUCGAACGAGUGGCGGACGGGUGGGAAAUGUCUGGGAAACUGCCCGCUGGAGGGGGAUAACUACUGGAAACGGUAGCUAAUACCGCAUACCAUCGGAUGUGCCCAGAUGGGAUUUGCUAGUAGGUGGGGUGAAGGCUCACCUCGGCGACGAUCCCUAGCUGGUCUGAGAGGAUGACCAGCCACACUGGAACUGAGACACGGUCCAGACUCCUACGGGAGGCAGCAGUGGGGAAGAUUGCACAAUGGGCGCAAGCCUGAGACAGCCAUGCCGCGUGUAUGAAGAAGGCCUUCGGGUUGUAAAGUUCUUUCAGCGGGGAGGCGUUACCCACAGAAGAAGCACCGGCUAACUCCGUGCCAGCAGCCGCGGUAAUUC